UUUAAUUCUUUGAUUGCGUCUUUAAACCAUCAAACUCACCUGUCUAACCUCAUUCACCACUCACCCGUUUCCAGCUUUCUGGCUUUUCUUUGUUCCUGCUUUGUCCUGUUCAGUUCAGUAUUAAUUAUGCCUGUUUAAGUUCUGCCACAUUUCAACUUUCCUGACAGUUUCCAGUUUUUCCUCUGAGGAAGGAUCUUCCACUUGUUUUGGACCCGUGGGAACAGAACCUUCAGAGUUCUGGAUGGACUUAAAACUGGGAUCAGGGAUAAAGUUCAGGCACAGAAUAAGUUAUUUCUUAAACUGACCUCUGCAGAUGGUGAAAGUAAAGAUUCUUAAUUUCAGAUAUUAUUAAAUAUAUUCUGUUCAAGUUAAAGUUUCUAUUUCAGUGCUUGAACUGCAACUUUUAAAACUCUUUAAAAAAGUUAUUUUAUUAUUUAACCUCCUGUCUUUAGUUUGGUAAUAAGUCAGUAGAUUAACAUCUGUGUUGUGUGUUAAACCAAACCAGGCUGAUUUACAUUGAGUUUCCAUGGUAACAAUAAUGAUCUAACCAGAAUGAUUCAGUUGUGUCUGCAGUGAACUGGAAAGCAGAACAUGCUGAGCUCAGACUGCAGAACCUGACAGGAAGUUCUGCUGUUAACCAAUGAUCUGUUCUGCAGGUCAACAACAGCAGAGCUGAUGAUGCACCGACUCACAUCUUCAAGUUCCUGGAGGAAACAUUAGUGACAUGUUCCUGUAGGAAGGAUGGAGCAUGGAGGUUCUUCUGCAGGGAGAAAUGUGAAGCGGGAAGCGUUCAAACACAAGGCCUGGACGCUCAGUCGGGUCGAUGCGGAGUUGGAUGUUCUACACCUGUUCUUCUGUCUGGGAUGAUCUCAGAGCUGACCCGGUCCGACUCUGGACUUUACAGACUUGGUCUGGGUGAAUCUUCAUCAUCAGCUGAAAUCUGUAAUUUCAGACUUCAUCUUGUAGAAGCUCUGCUGGAUGGAAGCAAAGAUCAUCACCUCUAUAAAGACGCUGGCAGCUCUCUGACAGGCGCCUGUUCCUUUGGAUCCUCUGGUUCCUCUGGAAGAGGACAGUUCUGCAGAGGGAAGUUCUUAUUGGGACAAAUGAAGGCAGAUUUGAUAGUGGCAAAUACAUCAUUCUGUAUGAAAGUGGAGUUCUGUAUGUGUCCAUCACCCAGCUGACCCAGUCUGACUCUGGACGGUACCGAUGUUCCCUGGAGAGAAAUGAUGGAUCAUAUUUAUACAGAGACUUUAACAUCACAGUCAGAGACGGCUGUGGACGACUUCACUAAAGUCGCCUACGCUGAAGUGAAGUUCUUUAAAAGAAGCUCUGAUUCUCCUGUCAGAGCGUCAGGCGGAACCAAUAACGAUGUUGUCUACGCCGCGGUCCGAAUGACGGAUCUGAACCGAUCCGAGGAAGAGCCGUUGUACUCUAACACAGCUCAGAUGUAGCUCUGCUCUCCUGCUGCUGGCAGGCGACAGAGCAUGUGGAUUUAAGGACGGCUGAAGCAACCUGAAAUAACGAUGUGGUCGUCUGGAUGUUGGUUCCAUGAAAAACAGAAGCUGCAGUUGUGAGGAGCUCCUCAGAUAUGCUGCAGUUGAAGCUACUCUCAUUUCUACUUUGAUUAAUUUAUUUUAUAUUUUAAAUCUAGUUUCCUUACACAUUAUAAAACUGCUGGUGCGUCUUUUUGCUUUUCAUUUUACAUUUGGUUCCUAUUUCUGUACAAACUGUUAGUUCAGACUGACAUCAGCUAAAAAAACGCGUUAAAAGAAGGUUUUAAUGGGUAUUAAUAGUUUUGCAUGGCACUGUAAUUUUCCUUUUAGAUUCUAAAAUUUGCAUAUUUGCACGUUUUGUCAUGAUCAGCUUAGCUUUUUUUAUUUUAAGCCAAAAAUAACAGAUCCUUUAUUUAUUUCAAAUCAGUAUUAAUAAAAUA